rnacentral:rRNA from 1 species
UACGUAGGGCGCAAGCGUUGUCCGGAAUUAUUGGGCGUAAAGAGCUCGUAGGCGGCUUGGUGCGUCGGUUGUGAAAGCCCGGGGCUUAACCCCGGGUCUGCAGUCGAUACGGGCAGGCUAGAGUGUGGUAGGGGAGAUCGGAAUUCCUGGUGUAGCGGUGAAAUGCGCAGAUAUCAGGAGGAACACCGGUGGCGAAGGCGGAUCUCUGGGCCAUUACUGACGCUGAGGAGCGAAAGCGUGGGGAGCGAACAGG